CCUACGGGGGGCAGCAGUGGGGAAUAUUGGACAAUGGGGGCAACCCUGAUCCAGCCAUGCCGCGUGUGUGAAGAAGGCCCUCGGGUUGUAUAGCACUUUCAGUGAGGAAGAACGCCUGGUGGUUAAUACCCAUCAGGAAAGACAUCACUCACAGAAGAAGCACCGGCUAACUCCGUGCCAGCAGCCGCGGUAAUACGGAGGGUGCGAGCGUUAAUCGGAAUUACUGGGCGUAAAGCGCGCGUAGGUGGCUUGAUAAGCCGGUUGUGAAAGCCCCGGGCUCAACCUGGGAACGGCAUCCGGAACUGUCAAGCUAGAGUGCAGGAGAGGAAGGUAGAAUUCCCGGUGUAGCGGUGAAAUGCGUAGAGAUCGGGAGGAAUACCAGUGGCGAAGGCGGCCUUCUGGACUGACACUGACACUGAGGUGCGAAAGCGUGGGUAGCAAACAGGAUUAGAUACCCGUGUAGUC
rnacentral:rRNA from 1 species